GAUUAUAUGCUUUGGGGACGAAAGAGAGAAUGCUAAUUGGCGCGAUGGCUAGUGGUGUGUUGUAAUUUGUGCCUGAGGAGUUUGUGUGUAUUGGUUGGUGAAAUGUGAUUAUUUCACUCCUAUUAAGUUCAGUUUAGUGUCCAGUGAAGUGUUGUAGAAAAUGUAGUGGUGUACAGACUCUAUCCCGAAACCGACUCAUCGAAAUUUUUUUGAUUUUGUUAAAUGUCAUCAUCUGUAGCAGUCGUGACUCGAGCGUGAUUUCACUUCAGACGUAGAAUUAAAUAAUGUCAUCGCUUCAGAAGAAAGUUCUAAAAACUAAUCUCCCUCCUGGCCCGUCUGUUGCAAGAAGGCGCCUUGCAGUGGGCAGUAAACGUGAUUACGCUCCCACAAAAUGGAAUAAAUAUUUCAGUGAAUAUGAAGAUGUGCAUGUUCGAGAAAACACAUUUCGUGUGUAUAAGCGAGGUGACAGUGGUCCUGCUUUGGUUUUAUUACAUGGUGGAGGAUUCUCUGCACUUACUUGGGCAGUCUUUUCAGCAUCGGUGACAAACUUGGUUGCGUGCCGAGUUCUGGCUAUUGACCUGAGGGGUCAUGGUGACAGUGAAACGACAGAUGAUGAGGACCUGUCUGCUAAGACAAUGGCAAGUGAUGUUGGAGAUACUAUAAGCAUGCUGUAUGGCACUGAUGCUCCCCCAGUAAUUUUGAUUGGACACAGCAUGGGUGGGGCAAUUGCAGUUCAUGUUGCUGCUGCUGAUUUAAUACCAUCACUUUGUGGACUUGUGGUAAUAGAUGUUGUUGAAGGGACUGCUAUGGAUGCUCUUACAAGUAUGCAGAGUUUCUUACGUAGCCGCCCCACUGGGUUCAAAUCAAUAGAACAAGCUGUCGAAUACAGUGUUCGUAGUGGACAAGUCAGAAAUUUGGAGUCAGCUAAAGUUUCUAUGCCUGGCCAAAUAAAGAACUGUGUUACUAACAAGGCAGCUACAAAUGACCUUAAUUUGUAUGAACCUUCAGAGGAGUCACUCGUUGCUGAGAUAUUAUCUUCCGAGAAUGUUAUCCAAGAAGAACCAAGUGGAGAAGAAAAUGACAACACUUCUUGUAGUGGUACAAAUGCAACUCAUCAUACCAAAGACUCUUCAGAUACAGAUGAUACGUGGGAACAACAAAGCUGUUCUGUCCAAGAAAAGAAACGCAGUAGAACAGCUGACAAAUAUACAUGGCGAAUAGACCUAGCAAAGACAGAGAAAUAUUGGUCUGGAUGGUUCAAAGGACUGUCUAACAUUUUUUUGAAUUGUCCAGUGCCAAAAAUGUUAUUGUUGGCUGGAAUAGAUAGGCUGGACAAAGAGCUCAUGGUUGGGCAAAUGCAAGGUAAAUUCCAGUUGCAAGUUUUGGGACAGUGUGGCCAUGCUGUGCAUGAAGAUGUUCCAGAAAAACUAGCAGAUAUAAUGGCAUCAUUUAUGGUGAGAUAUAAAUUUGCAGAGCCAACAGCAAACUUUCAGCGGACUUUCCCUGCAUGCUAAAAAAUAAGAAAGAGUGCAAGAAGACAAGAAACUGGGAAAUGCAAUGUGUUCUGAGGUGGAGAAAUUGGCUGACAGUUCUGCUCUCAGAAGAUGCCUUUGAUGCAGAAGUUCUUCCAGCUCCUUUGGGUAAAGCUUUUUAUCUCUGCAAGUACACAGCUGCUACUUUGCCGUUGAAUUCCAGCAUGUAAGAGCUGAGCAGUAUGCAUUAUGAAGGUUCAGAAAAUCGUUUCAGUGGGGAGCAGCUUUAACUUUCAAUUUCCUGGUCCCAACAGUGGUUGUUCAAUUGUAAGGUGUACUUUUGUGCUGUUCACAAUACUGUAAAUUUUGAGAGGGAGAAACUGAGUUCAAUGGCUGUACAACAAAUAAUAUAAUAAAUUAUUUUUACCUCCCUCGAUAAAAUAGAUAUGUAUAUAUUAUUAACAUCUUGCCUGUUGUUGUGCAUUCUCAUUGGUCUUUUGGCAAAUAAGGCAUUAUUCAUGUCUGCUAUAUCCUUUUGUCUCCUUAUAUGAAUGAAAUGAUGAUAACUUUCAUUACUAUCACUUACAACAUCUGCAAAAUAUAACUUCAAACUGCAGUGUAGCAGUAUUAUUUCAUACAUCCAGAAUGUCUGCCUUUUUGGACAUGUUCCAUAACAAGAGAGAGUAAGAGUGAGUGUGUAGCAUACUGUAGGAGAAGUUAAGAUAUUUAUUACUUGCUUAGACAAAUUCCUGAGUAGAUUAAUAAAUGUAAUUAUCAUCUCUACACAUUUUCACAUCUUCAACCACUUUCUGCAUGAAAUGGUACAGUAUCAUUAAGUCCUUUCUUUGCUUGUCCUAAAGUAGAUAUUAUGGUCAAAUCAUGUCAGCAAAUUUCUUAUUGCUGCUGCAUCAAUCCUCUGAAGUUGCAUUUCAUGUUCUGUACUCUAGUAAUUUAACAUGUUGACUACCAUGAGGCCACUGGUGGACACAGCGGAGCCUUGUGACUGACAUUGCGUGCCCGCUGACAGCCACACAUUCAACUCUAUUCAGUCUAGUAGUGUGCAUUAACUGGUAUUCCUUGAUUAAGUUGAUUCUGAUGUACAGGAAAUCUGGUACUGUAUCUUGUUCAACUUUUAUUAUUAUUAUUAUUGUUAUUAUUAUUAUUAUUAUUUUGGAAGUUUACGUUCAAUGGUUUUUAUUACUAAUUCUUUACAAAAUUACAUCAUGGCUCUAAAUCCAUUAUGAAGCUGACUCCUAAUUUACCUUUUGAUAUGGACAGUGAGAUUUCCUGUCAUAUAAAGUGAAUGUAAAUGGUUUUCGCUCAAAUAAAUCCCACACUGUCAACCAGUGAGAUAGCGCAACAUUUUAAAUUUCCAAAAACUGACUGGUUUCACUGAAUUAUUGAGGAUGUCGAGAAAAUAAGGUUUUUAUGGUGAACCAGAGUUAUCAUAGCUUUCUUGUAAUGAGGAUGUGUUUGUGGGCACAACUGAUAGCAACACCAAUGACAAUGACGUAUUGGUAAUGGUGAUGGUGAUGGCAAUAGGCAGCAAGAAACCUACAGUAGUUUGAACUGUACGAGGCCACAACUAUGACGAAGGCUAAACUAGUAAUACCAUCCAUUUACAGGCUGCAAUGAUCCGCAGUAUGUGAUUAACAGGGUGCAGGGGAUUGUGAUGGAAUUAUGAACACAACUUCCAAAGAUACUCUGUAUUGAACAGAGUGGAACUAGGGGCUGCCUGCUGGCACACAUCGGACAUGAGACUCUGCUGCAUCAGCCAGUGGCCUUGUGGCAGUCAACUUGUUAAAAAUGCAUCCCAUUCAGUUACAUUACUUACCAAUGCCUUAUGUGGAUGCACAUGAGAAUUAUUACACAAGUCUCCACUUUCUUUUACUCUUGGAACCCAUUGUGCAAUAUAGCACAGUCUUCUUGACUUCGUCAAAUUCUAUUUUGAGCGUAAGAAUGAAAAUUAUCAUAGUUGUGAUUGUUGUUGUGUGUUGGACAGUAUGCAUUAAAUGAGCAAUAUUGUACUCUAUUUUGCCUGUAUAAAUUUGUUUUCUUUUGUGUUACUUGUACUUUAACCUAUAUAGUUUGCCUCUGACUGUUGUAAGCAAUGUUGACUCUUUACUGUUAUCGCCUUUUAAUGUUUUAGUGCCUUUUAUUUUUCAUAAAUCACUGCUUUUAUACUAUAAUGGGAAGCAAAAGAUAACAUCUCAGUUUGUAGCACAAAUUGUGUCCAAAACACUUUUUCUCCUAACUGAUAAGAACCACUCAUUUGAUCAACUUAUUUUCAUAAUUUGUUGAAUAUUUAUUUUUUUCCUAAUACCGGUGCUUUAGUGCACUUGUCUUGAAAGACUGUUUAAUACUAUGUACAAAUUUCUUCAAAUGGUAUUAUGGCCAAGAUAAAACAAAUCUUUUACUGCAAAGGGUCCAUAGAGUUAUGAUACAGAAAAGUAACAAUUCUGGAAAUGAUUGUUUCCAGGUAUAUUUUUGAAAUACAUAUUGCCAACACACUUUUUGUGGACAUUUGAUGAACAAGCCAAUUUGUAUUCUGAUUUGUUUGUUGUUUAAAGUUGAAAAUAUAUUUAUUUCAUUCCUUGAAGUAGACAUUAUGCCAUAACUGUAACUUAUCACACCCUUCAAGUAACUUUGCAAUGGGCCGAAUUCAGACGAUUUUUUUAAUUUUCCGCUAUGACUGUUGGAUGAAAUAAAAUAAAGUGUUCUAAAAAUGUU